UGUGCCUACAAUCCGUCAGAGCCUCCUUUUCCUCUCCGGAGGAGGGUGGUGAUGGCGUGCCUUUUGAAGAAUGAGCCUGCGAGUCAGGGACAUGUCGCAAGGUUAACCCGUGUGGGGUAGCCGCAGCGAAAGCGAGUCUGAAUAGGGCGACCCACACGCAUACGCGCGUGUGAAUAGUGGCGUGUUCUGGACCCGAAGCGGAGUGAUCUACCCAUGGCCAGGGUGAAGCGCGGGUAAGACCGCGUGGAGG
rnacentral:rRNA from 1 species